UACAGAGGUCCCAAGCGUUUGUUCGGAUUCACUGGGCGUAAAGGGUGCGCAGGUGGUCGGGUAAGUCUGACGUGAAAUCCCGCAGCUUAACUGCGGAAUGGCAUUGGAUACUAUUCGGCUAGAGGGUUGGAGGGGGACUGGAAUUCUCGGUGUAGCAGUGAAAUGCGUAGAUAUCGAGAGGAACACCAGUGGCGAAGGCGAGUCCCUGGACAAUUCCUGACGCUGAGGCACGAAAGCUAGGGGAGCAAACAGG
rnacentral:rRNA from 1 species